rnacentral:rRNA from 1 species
UGGGGAAUAUUGCACAAUGGGCGCAAGCCUGAUGCAGCCAUGCCGCGUGUAUGAAGAAGGCCUUCGGGUUGUAAAGUACUUUCAGUCGGGAGGAAGGUGUCAAGGUUAAUAACCUUGGCAAUUGACGUUACCGACAGAAGAAGCACCGGCUAACUCCGUGCCAGCAGCCGCGGUAAUACGGAGGGUGCAAGCGUUAAUCGGAAUUACUGGGCGUAAAGAGCACGCAGGCGGUUGAUUGAGUCAGAUGUGAAAUCCCCGGGCUUAACCCGGGCAUUGAAUCUGAGACUGGUCAGCUAGAGUGUGGUAGGGGGGGGUAGAAUUCCAGGUGUAGCGGUGAAAUGCGAAAAGAUGUGGAGGAAUACCGGUGGCGAAGGCGGCCCCCUGGACAAAGACUGACGCUCAGGUGCGAAAGCGUGGGGAGCAAACAGG